rnacentral:rRNA from 1 species
GAUGAACGCUAGCGGCAGGCCUAAUACAUGCAAGUCGGACGGGAUUUGGGAGCUUGCUCCCAAUGAGAGUGGCGCACGGGUGCGUAACACGUAUGUAACCUACCUUAAUCGGGGGGAUAGCCUCUCGAAAGAGAGAUUAACACCGCAUAACAUAUUUUUAUGGCAUCGUAGAAAUAUCAAAUAUUUAUAGGAUUAAGAUGGGCAUGCGGAACAUUAGCUAGUUGGUAAGGUAACGGCUUACCAAGGCUACGAUGUUUAGGGGAUCUGAGAGGAUGACCCCCCACACUGGUACUGAGAAACGGACCAGACUCCUACGGGAGGCAGCAGUAAGGAGUAUUGGUCAAUGGGCGCAAGCCUGAACCAGCCAUGCCGCGUGCAGGAAGACGGCCCUAUGGGUUGUAAACUGCUUUUGUACCGGAAUAAACCCUUUUACGUGUAAAAGGCUGAAUGUACGGUAAGAAUAAGGAUCGGCUAACUCCGUGCCAGCCGCCGCGGUAA